AUUGAACGCUGGCGGCAGGCUUAACACAUGCAAGUCGAGCGGAGAUGAGGUGCUUGCACCUUAUCUUAGCGGCGGACGGGUGAGUAAUGCUUAGGAAUCUGCCUAUCAGUGGGGGACAACAUUCCGAAAGGAAUGCUAAUACCGCAUACGUCCUACGGGAGAAAGCAGGGGAUCUUCGGACCUUGCGCUAAUAGAUGAGCCUAAGUGGGAUUAGCUAGUUGGUGGGGUAAAGGCCUACCAAGGCGACGAUCUGUAGCGGGUCUGAGAGGAUGGUCCGCCACACUGGGACUGAGGCGCGGGCCAGAGUCCUACGGGAGGCAGCAGUGGGGAAUAUUGGACAAUGGGGGGAACCCUGAUCCAGCCAUGCCGGGUGUGUGAAGAAGGCCUUAUGGUUGUAAAGCACUUUAGGCGAGGAGGAGGCUACUGAGACUAAUACUCUUGGAUAGUGGACGUUACUCGCAGAAUAAGCACCGGCUAACUCUGUGCCAGCAGCCGCCGCCG
rnacentral:rRNA from 1 species